rnacentral:sRNA from 1 species
UCCUAUAGUAUGGUGUAUAUAUGGUAUAUUCCUACAGUAUGAUGUGUAUAUAGUAUAUUCCUAUAAUAUGAUAUGUAUUUGGUAUAUUCCUAUAGUAUGAUAUGUAUUUGGUGUAUUCCUGUAGUAUGGUGUAUAUAUUGUAUAGUCCUGUAGUAUGGUGUGCAUAUGGUAUAUUCCCCUAGUGUGGUGUAUAUAUGGUAUAUUCUUAUAGUUUGGUGUAUAUAUGUAUAUUCCUAUAGUAUUGUGUAUACAUGGUAUAUUCCUAUAGUAUCGUGUAUAUAUGGUCUAGUUCUAUACUGUGAUGUGUAUAUGGUAUAUUCCCAUAGUGUGGUAUAUAUAUAUGGUAUAUUCCUAUAGUGUGGCGUAUAUGUUAUAUUCUUUUAGUAUGGUGUGUAUAUGGUAUAGUCCUAUACUAUGGUGUGUUGACGCAGACAUGGUGUUCAUAGCUUUUUAGUUUCCCCUAAAUGUCAAUUAUGUAAGACACUGAUUAGGAAACAGAGUCAACUGAAAACUUCAGCAGCAUUCAGGAGGGAGUUUACAUUUGUGUGACACUGAUGUCUGUUACUCUUAAAAAAACACACCCCUUUAUUUUGUCACUGACGAAUUUCUACCCAUCCCACCCCAUCCACAUCCUCCAGAAAUGCCAUCUAGGAGCAAGCAAGCAAGCAAGGACAAGUGCUCUUCCUUCCCAUCUUGUCUUUGUUUCUCCAGACAGGAUCUCUGGUGACCUAGGCAGAUCUCUUAGAUUCACUCUUAGGCUGCCUUGAAACUGCUCAUUCUCCUGCCUCAGCCUCCCAAAUUCCAGAAUUACAGGCAAGUGCCAUCACACCCAGCUUUCCUUUUAACUUUUUAAAGGAAGAAAUUUCCCUCUUUCUCAGAAGCUUCUGCCGUGGACUUGUAUCUGAAGAGCUUAGGUGUAUCUGCUCCCUUCCUUCAGUAAUGAACCACAUCUAAGGUGAAGGCAACCAGUCUCCCUGGUAGAGCACUAGGUGGAAAUCCCAGCAGUAGAGGACACAGAGCCUGACACCCUACAGCAAGCCUUAGAGCUGCAUGGGUGUGGAUGUCCACUGAUGCAUUUUAAAGUCAUUUGGGCUGGAAAGUUCAGGAACAAAAGAAGAUGCUGGAAGGGGAAUGGAAGGGAGAGGAACAGAUGAAGGGGUUAGAUGUUUAUCUGCAUAUCUUGGGGCUCGAGUUGCCUAUGGCCUUUUGAAAUGCAAAACUUGUUUCUUUUUUAAAAUGCUUGUUCUAGCUUUUCUGCCCUUAGCUUUGCUUUCUCUUAGCUAGUGUCCUUGAGGAGGCAAAAGAAGGGACGUGCAUGCCAGGAGGGAAUUUGGACAUUAAAACUUUUCUUUAACCAUUGCAUAUGCUUUAACUCACAGCACUAUAAGGGAGAUAAUUUCUUUUGAGAAAAAAAUCUUUCUUUGAGUGUGUGUGUGCCACACAGGUUACAAAUGGAUCUACUUGGAUUUGAUUUAGUAUUUCCUUUAGAGUAAAUCAAUAAUGGACAUCUUAGAAAUCUUUCUGAACACCCUGUGCCAGUAAUCUGUCUCUCUUGAGAUAAUUAGACAAUGAGGCAUUUCUAAUUCAUCAAUUGUUUAAAGAAUCAAUAUCUACAGAAAAUGUGUACUGUGGAUCCCUUUACCAAUAGCACGAGGUUUUUAAAAGCUAAAUUUUAAUUAAUUUAAUUCCUAUAAUAAGCCAACUGUUUACUAUACGGCCAACUGUGCAUUCUUCGAUAAAUGUAAUACGCGCACAGGAUGCUAACAGAAUGAAGGAUGGGUGCAACUGAUCUUACCAGUGUUCGCAUGCUACAGAGAACAUACAAACAGCGUGACUCUUGAGAGUUCGUUGAACUUGAAUGGCGGACCUGGGUGGGUUAGUGGGCUGGUGGCAUGAAGAACAUGCAGUGUGGUGAUGAAUGUGGUGUUGGAGGGCAUCUCCUAGUGCUACUUUUCAAUUUGUAGAACCCUACAAUCUCUUGGGAUACGGGCUUCUUAGGACAUCUGUGGGGUAGUGUCUUGAUUAUAUUAAUUAGGGUGGGAAGACGUACCUACUUUGGCCUGUUUCCUAGGUUUAGUGUUGCUGAGAUAAAACACCAUGACCAAAAGCAAUGUGGGGAGGAAAUGGUUUAUUUGGCUUUAUUCUGGGUCAUAGUCCACUGAAGAAAGCCACGGUAGGAACCUAAACGGGACAGGAACCUGGAGGCAGGAGCUGAUGCAGAAGCCAUGGAGGGUGCUGCUUACUGGCUUGCUUGGCCUGAUUUUUUCUUUUUUUAAGCUGACCCCUUUCCCAAUCACUAAUUUCAUGCCUUACAGGCUUGCCUACAGCUUGAUCUUCUGGGUAUUUUUCUCAACGGUGUUCCUGUUAUUCAGUUGAGAUUAGCUUACAUCAAAUAACUUGAACAGCGGCAUGCAUUCAAGUCUCUGAUCUCCAACUCUUGAUUGGAUUUGACGAGCAGUUGCAGGCUCCAUCUGCCUCAACUUCCUCACUGUACUGGAUAUUACCCUUCCACCCUGAACAGAAAUAAAGUUUGCUGAACAGAAGAAAACCAAGACAGAGGGUGUGCUUAUAAAAUGGAGAGAAGCCCAGUCUGGCUGGAGUGUGGUUGUUCUGGGCUUGUAGUGGAAGGUAAUGCAGGGAAAAUUAAGACAGGAAUUCAUUGCCAGGCAAGGAGGCAUAGUUGGCAGACUUUGAGAUUGUCCCAUCCCCACUACCAUGGAUUAAAAACUGUGGGAAAGGCUGAUGUUCUUCUCAGGUGUUCACAGAAGAGUUACCCUAAAACAGAAGGAAACUCUUGUGGCGAAGACCUACUUUACCUUGUGUGUCAUGGUGUUGGCCAAACACUGUUGACCUGCGAAGAGAAUCCUCGUCCACUGGACCUUUACUGAGGAGAAGCUGGCUUUCAUGACCCACAGAUUAGGAAAGGUUUCAAUCAUUUAUGCAGGCAAAGUAUUAGAAUAAAAAGCGCUUUAGUGCGGCAUUUGAACUAUUAGAAAUAUUAUCUUUUUCAGAACAAAAAAUACUGUCCCUUUUUGAUUUGUGUUAUUAUGUAUCUCAUGAUAUCAUAGCAUGCUGGGACAUCGUUAUCAGGAAUAAAAGCUAAUACUUUAACAUGAGAUCAUUAUCACCCAUUGUAAAUAUGAGCAGGUAUAUAUUAAUGCAUAGUUCUGAUUAGUGUAUGAGGGAUGAUUGAGUUCAGAAUACGAUGUUUUGCGGGGACUGGGAGUUGAACUUAGAGCUGUAUGAAUGCUGUAGGCAACGACUCUACCACUGAGCCAGGUCCCAGCCCAACAACAUCCCAGUACAUGGGAGUUCUGUAGAGGAUCCACCCGAUUAGAUUAAGUGUCCCAUAUCACUGUCUUUUUCCCUCCCCCAAUGAAACAGCUAGUUGACAAUUUUGUUGACUCAAUAAUUAACUGUUGGAAAAAGAAUUUGCUUAAGCAGAGCAAACAGGCUUCAUCCCCUUAUGAGACACAGUCACACUGGUGUGUGUGUGUGUGUGUGUGUGUGUGUGUGUGUGUGUGUGUGUGUGUCAGCAGUUAUUUUAGAACAGUGCCUGAAACACAGUAAUGCAUACAGUGCCUCAUGUUCUGGUGAGCGCCAGCCAUAACAUUUCUUCAUCGUUGCCAUAUAAGUUAAUUUUGCUACUGUUAUGAUUGUAAGUGAAUCUCUGUGUUUCCUGAUGGUCUUAGGCGACCCUAUGAAAGGGUUGAUAGACUCUCAAAGGGGUCACAGUGCCCAGGUUGAGCACUGCCAUUUUAGACAAUGUCCCUUGUCCAUAUAUGGAUCUUCCUUGUCAGGUUGCUUAGCACUGAAGACUCACGUCUUCUUAAACCUUGCCUGAGCAGUGUGUAUGGUUAAUUUCUGAUCAAGACGGGAGCAUUUAGACCAUGGUGAAGCCUUUAAAAAUCUUAGUUUAUUUUAGAAUGAACUUUGAUAUAAAGAUGAAUCAAAACAUUAGGACAUCUGGCAUUCUAACAGGUAUUAAUUUUUUAAAAAUUAGGACAUUUCUGUUGAGUAGCUGUUUAUGAUGUUAGGUCCAAUAACAACAAUGACAAUGACAACAAUAUAUUGAAAACUAUCUAAGAUUAUAUAUAUGCUCAGAAUGUAAUCAAUGUUUAAGUCUUGAGGUCCCAUACUUACAUUUUAAGAAAAAUCAAAGUUUUCACCUGCUUUUUGUUUCAUGGUCAGCCUCAGUUUAGGGUAGAGAGGCCAUGCAUUCUUAUACACGUGUAUGCUGUAUGCAUAUGUGUACUUUCAUGUGUGUCUGUCAAAGUCAAACACCAUCUUUAGUCAUUGUCCACCUUUUUUUUUUCUGUUUUUGUUUUUGUUUUUUUGUUUUUUUUUUGUUUUUUUGUCAACUUGGUGUUGGAUAACCAGUUGGGGUCUCAUACCCAGGAAGGACUAUUUUUCUCCUCUUAUUUCUCAGACUAUGAGAUGGACCUCGGUGAGAUUCCCCCCUUCCACCCUAGCCUCUCUAUUCAUGACUUCCAUUGAUGACUUCCAUGCUGGCCUGAAUAUGGAGCUCACUGGAUGGUGAAGCCUUCGGUUUUGAGCUAGAGCUUCAGGAUAGAGACACUAAGGCCUCUUCGGUGUGUGAAACGUCUACGUGCACACAAUCAGCAUUAGAGAGGAAAAAAUAUCCUUGCCUGAAGUAUGCAUUUUCUUCUAUUUCUAACACAUGCAAACCCAAUGCAGGUGCUGGCAAGCUGUUUGCCGGGGGCUCUGACAAUGAUGUAAGGAAGACCAGGGCCAACCGACCACCAUCUCCAAAGAGCGGUGCGGACCAUGUGUGGUGUGAACACUGCCUGUUUGUCCUUGCUGCAGUCCCAGUUAGCUGUGUGCUAACUGCACGAAUAAAGAACACUUCUGUGGAGCAA